UGUCUAUAUGUAACUUUCAGUUAGUGUUGAUUCUAGCGGCCCCUUUGGACUUAAGCACUAGUGUUUUUACCACACCUGCUGUCGUAAAGCUCUUUUCUUUACGGUGCUGUAUUACCCACUUUAUAUUACCGAGUUAGCGUUACGGGGAGGUCAUAUAGUUGCGAUGAAUGUUUUGCUCGGAUAGAAAGUAUCCCUGUCACUGUGUCACCAGCCAAAGCAUUAAGAGAUUGUUGUAGCAACCAACGUAAAAAUAACUUAGAUUAAUAUAACGCAUUUCAUGAAACCCACGGACGCUCUACAUAAGUAACAUUACAAGGGGACAAGGGAAAAGAAAAUAGUAGGCCAACACAAACACGGAGUAAAAGGAAAAAAACGUUGGCGCUAAAUGGAAGGGGGACGUAAUUUAAUGUCGCCUACUGACAUACAACCACAUCGCACAUUCUAAAGUUCUUUUAUGAAUGAAA